rnacentral:rRNA from 1 species
GACGAACGCUGGCGGUGUGCUUAACACAUGCAAGUGGUGCGACGAACCAGAGCUUGCUCUGGGGCAAAGCCGCGAACGGGUGAGUAACACGUGGGUAAUCUACCCCGAUGACCGGGACAACCCGAGGAACUCGGGCUAAUACCGGAUGUGGUACGGAGACAUAAGUCUCUUUACUAAAGGUAGCUUCGGCUUCCGCAUUGGGAGGGGCCCGCGGCCCAUUAGCUAGUUGGUGGGGUCAAGGCCUACCAAGGCAACGAUGGGUAGCUGGUCUGAGAGGACGAUCAGCCACACUGGGACUGAGACACGGCCCAGACUCCUACGGGAGGCAGCAGUGGGGAAUCUUGCGCAAUGCGCGAAAGCGUGACGCAGCAACACCGCGUGAGGGAAGACGGCCUUAGGGUUGUAAACCUCUUUCAGAUGGGACGAAGGUGAUGCGGUGAAUAGCCGAUGUCAUUGACGGUACCGUCAGAAGAAGCUCCGGCUAACUACGUGCCAGCAGCCGCGGUAAU